GGUUUCUUGGCCGAGUGGCUAGGCAGAGGUCUGCAAAACCUUUUACGGCGGUUCGAAUCCGCCAGAAACCU
rnacentral:tRNA from 1 species